GGAAAUUGUGGAAAAGUUUUGAGCCUCAUGGCUUCUUUCUCCAUCCUCAGCUUUGGAUGCUUAGUGCUUGGACUGCCUGAGAGUGAAAAACUGGAGGAAGACUGUUGGCAGUAGAGCUAUUGACAAUGCAACCACUGGGUAUAAGCUCUGCAAAUUGGAAGUAGUUUCCCAGUUGGAACAAGGAGAGGAACUGUGGAGAGAAGGAUUAGGAUUUCUCUGAGGACAGAGUCCAGGAAUGGAAAAUGACCAUAAAAAGGAAGAAAUGAUAGCCAUGCAACAUAUCUGCAAGAAGGAGACCUCUUCCAUCCAGUCAAAACAGCAGAUUUCUUACACUGGAGAGGAUCACUUUGAAGAUAAUGAUUUGGGAUAUUUCAUUCACUUCACAUUGACUUACAAGGGAAAGACACCCUAUGAGGACAAACAAUUUUAAAAAAUUUCUAUUACCAUUCAUUCAUCAACAUAAGCAAAUUCAUACUGGACAUAAGUCAUAUGACUGUCAUCUAUGUGGAAAAGUCUUCAGAAGUAAUUCUGUCCUUAGAGAACGUGAGAAAAUGUACACUGGAGAGAAGACAUAUGGCUGCCAUCUAGAAGGGAAAGACUUCACUGAUGGUUCUAUCUGCAGACAACAUGUGAGAACUCACACUGGUGAGAAAACAGAUGUCUGUCAUGAAUGUGGGAAAGACUUCACUCAUAGUUCUAAACUCAGAUGACAUGAGAGAACACACACUGGAGAGAAACCAUAUGUCUGUCUUCUAUGUGGGAAAUCCUUCAGUCAAUGUGGUAACCUUAGGCAGCAUGAGAGAACUCACACUUUGGAGAAAUCAUUUAUCUGUAAUGUUUGUGGAAAAUCCUUCAGUCAACAUAUUCACCUUACACAACAUGAGAGAAGUCACACUGGGGAGAAAUCAUAUGUCUGCCACCUAUGUGGGAAAAACUUUAGAUAUACUUUUGCCAUUAGGAAACAUCAGAGAACUCAUUAAAAUGUGCAUUUGGAAGAGUCUUUAGCCACAGAUAUAAUCUUUUAAAAAAUGAAAUAAGUUACACACAAGUGUACUUCUCUGUCAAUGUAAUCAAUGUGUAAAUGUCUUUAUUUACAAUUUAUCCAUAAAUAACAUGAUUGGACUAUACUGGGAGGAACUCUAUGUCUGUAAUUACCUAUAAUACAUUUCAGAUGAGCUGCAGCCUUGGCACAUACAAGCACAGCUUAGAGUAAGAAUAGCUUCUAAACCAGGAAACUGGAUGGAAAUGUCUUUACCAGGAGGAGGAAACACUAGGAGGACAAGAGAUAACUUUUUAUGGAGUAUUCAAUGAAAAAAAUAUGCAAAAUCCUUUACUUAGAGAGCAACAUGUUAUUGGUCUUGAUCUUCCUCUGUUUUAGUUCAUCUAAAUAUAUAUUUCUUUUGAACUCAGAUAUUGACUACCAUGAAUACUCAACCUUCUUUCAAAUUGAAUAAUAUAAUAUAUAUUCUUUUAUAGCUGACUUUUUGAUCACCAUCUGUAAAUCAGGCUAUUCAUUGUGUGUUUAUGGAACAUUGUUAGGAGUGUUCCAUCAGAUGUAUUGUUCUUAUUUCAGAUAUUCAUUCUCCUAAUAAUUGACUUUUUGUUUGUUACAAUGUUUUAGCUGCUAUGAAAAAUAUACUUCCUUUAAAAUUUCUAUAUCCAAGUUUCAUGGACCUAGACACUCAUUAUUCUCAAGCAUGCAAAAGAAAAAUUGCUGGAUCAAAAAUAGCUGCAUGUAACCAGAAGACUGUGUGAUGAUGGCAGAAUGGGGAGCUCAAAGACUCAAUCCUUCCAUUAUAAAAUCUAAUAAACAGGCAGGAACCAUCUAACACAGCUAUUUUGGAUCUACAGGGAUCAGAAGAGCACUGUACAGCAUCCAGGAGAAGGAGGAAGUGGCUGACAAAUUUUAGUAAAGAAAAGAAAAUUGCUCUCCCCUAAAAGUGACUACUGGUACACUUAUCCCACUCUUGCUGCAUACCACCAUGGGGUCCAACCUCUAGCUAGAUUGCUGGUGACAGGGACACAAAAAUUCUCUUCCCCAAGACCAAGGAAAUGCAUGACAAAGAAAUGAUCACAGCUUUUGACUGAUGACUUUGGAUUGCUGGAGCACAGUACUAAGGGUGGCCACUGUCACAAACCACAUUUACAAAGGCAAUGGUAGCAGCCAUUAUUUCAACCAACUCUGGGAGUCAGAUGUCAGUUGAAGACACUACCCUUCCUCAGGGCUGCAGGAUACAGUUAGAUGAAGGGAUGCAUUUUCUGGGCAGGUCAAUAGAGCUCAGCUUUCAGGACAGUGAAGGAAGAUUUUUAUGCCCUUCCUGACUCCCUAACCAGGGCAUUUUGGACCUAGUCUGCACACCCUACAUGGGACAGUGUCCCUGUUUCUGCAGAAAAGAUUGACAAGAAAGUCCUCCCCAAUGUACCCCUCAACCCAGCUGCAAUAGCAGGUUGAGGCAGUGAAAGGCAUGUAAGAGCUAUAUAGCCAGAUAUUAAGAAGCAGUGGCUUGUGAACUUCAAAUACCUAGAAGCAGGAUGUCUCCAUUCUGGGAAACAGAGUGUACAAACUCCUGAAAACAAGGGGACUACAAAAUAACUAACAAGUAAAGCACAGGACAAGACACAGUCACAGAAAUAUAAGGAAAACCAUGCACACUGCAUUCAUCUCUGCAGGCAUUCCUGAUAAGAGGAUCAAUGCGCAAGAAAAUCUGUCUUAUUACCAGUUGGUUACAAAAUCAAGAAACAGACACCUCAGGGUACAAACACCAGAAUUAACAUGUUACAAUAUAAAGUGUGAAACAAGACUACAAGACAAAGAAACAGGAAUUGAUGGUCCCUCCAAAGGAAAAGGAUAAAAUUUCAGAAGCCAACAAUGAAGAGGGCCAGAAUGUGGACAUUCCAAAUGAAACCUUUAAAUGAUCUUAAAGUACUCAAGGAGAUGAAAGGAAAAUACAACUAAAGGUUGCAGGAAAGCAAUGAUUAAGCAAUAUGAGAAUCUUAGUAAAGAUACAGAUUUUGAAAGGUACCAACCAAACAAAAGUACUGGAGCUGAAGAUGAUAAUAAGUGAAAUAUUUUCCAGAAGAGUUUCCAGGGAAGAUUAGUACUGGAAGAAGAAAGAAUCAGUGAAAAGAAAAACAAGAUAUUGAAAUAAAUCAGGCAGAGGAGCAAACAUAAGAAAAAAUUAUAGAAUUGGACAAUUACUUAACAGAUCAUGGAGACACCUUUAAGGGUACCAAUAUAUGAAUCAUAGGAGUCCCAAAAGGAGAAAAAAGAAAGGGGCAGAAUUAAUAUUCAGAGAAAUAAUGACAGAGAACUUCCCAAGUUGAGCAAAAGAUGUGAAUAUACACAUCCAAGAAUCUCAGAGGACACCAAUCAUGAGAAUCAUGAUGAGAAAUACACACACUCAUUUACUGAUCAAUAUAUUAUUGAAUGCAAAGGACAA